rnacentral:rRNA from 1 species
CACGUAGGGUGCAAGCGUUGUCCGGAAUUAUUGGGCGUAAAGGGCUCGUAGGCGGUCCGUCGCGUCGGGAGUGAAAACUCGGGGCUCAACCCCGAGCCUGCUUUCGAUACGGGCGGACUAGAGGUAGGUAGGGGAGAACGGAAUUCCUGGUGUAGCGGUGGAAUGCGCAGAUAUCAGGAGGAACACCGGUGGCGAAGGCGGCAUCCUGGACCGACACUGACGCUGAGGAGCGAAAGCCAGGGGAGCAAAUGGG